GUCGCGGUAGCUUAGCUCGGGAGAGCGCGGGACUGAAGCUCUUUAGCCUGAUUUCAAAUCUCCUCCGCGACACCA
rnacentral:tRNA from 1 species